rnacentral:rRNA from 1 species
CCUACGGGAUGCUGCAGUGAGGAAUAUUGGUCAAUGGCCGUAAGUCUGAACCAGCCAAGUAGCGUGAGGGAAGACUGCCCUAUGGGUUGUAAACCUCUUUUAUGCGGGGAUAAAGUUGUCCACGUGUGGAUGUUUGCAGGUACCGCAUGAAUAAGGACCGGCUAAUUCCGUGCCAGCAGCCGCGGUACUUCGGAAGGUCCGGGCGUUAUCCGGAUUUAUUUGGUUUAAAGGGAGCGUAGGCGGGUCUUUAAGCUGGCCGUGAAAUUUUGUGGCUCAACCCGGAGAGUGCGGCGCGAACUGGAGACCUGGAGUGUGAGGAAGGUAGGCGGAAUGCGUGGUGUAGCGGUGAAAUGCUGAGAUAUCACGCAGAACCCCGAUUGCGAAGGCAGCCUGCCGAAGCGUGACUGACGCUGAAGCACGAAAGCGUGGGUAUCGAACAGGAUUAGAUACCCUAGUAGUC